UGUGGCAGAAUAAUGCAAUAAGCUUAAAAUUUAUUCAUAAAGGCCUCUUUCUUUAGUA
rnacentral:tRNA from 1 species